rnacentral:rRNA from 1 species
UACAGAGACUGCAAGCGUUAUUCGGAUUCACUGGGCGUAAAGGGUGCGCAGGCGGCCAAGUGUGUUAGGCGUGAAAGCCCGGGGCUUAACCCCGGAAUUGCACCUAAAACUACAUGGCUAGAGCAUUGGAGAGGGUAGCGGAAUUCCCGGUGUAGUGGUGAAAUGCGUAGAUAUCGGGAGGAACACCAGUGGCGAAAGCGGCUACCUGGCCCAUUCUUGACGCUGAGGCGCGAAAGCUAGGGGAGCAAACGGG